AAGGAAAGAAGACUUAGAAAAAAGAAAAUAUAUAGAGAUGUUAGAAGAUGGCUGAGGACAAACCUGGAAACAAAGCGGACGAUCCUCCUAAGAAGAGCAAAAGAAAACAGAGGUGUUGAAGGUAAGCGGUGAGGAAAUCGUUGAUGACAACAUGGAAGGGGAAGGAAAAACAAACACGUAGAAACCAAUUUAAGAAAUCAAGUCAUGUGUAAUCCACUAUCACCUGCAAUAAAAAAAAUUCAGUAAAGAAACACAAAUGAAUAGAAACCAAUUUAAGAAAUCAAGCCAUGUGUAAUCUACUAUCACCUGCAAUAAAAAAAAAUUCAGUAAAGAAACACAAAUGAAUAGAAACCAAUUUAAGAAAUCAAGCCAUGUGUAAUCCACUAUCACCUGCAAUAAAAAAAAAAUUCAGUAA
rnacentral:lncRNA from 1 species